GAUGUUUUGAUCUUAAUUGUGUGUUUUAACCAUACCCGACCACAACUAAAGAAUCACGAACUUUGCAGAACGCGUGUUUGACAAUGUCUCUGGAGGACGUGCAGUCCUUGCGCUCAGUCCGUCCCAAGAAAGACAAGCUGCCAUCAGUUGAGAUCAGCUUUAGUGGCCAAACUCAACCCACGACUGUCAGCUUCAGUCUAAAGCAGGCGAAAGAGCUGUGCCACACCAUUGCUGUGAUUAUGGAAGAGGUGGUGAAACCCCCCUACAGCAAUGUGUCCAGUCGGGCCGGAACCCCACAUUAAACAACCAACAUAUGCAAAGCUCACCUAAUAACCCAUGACUUACUCUAAAGUUCAAAGAUGUCUCCUGCCAUGAAAUAUUAAGACGUUAUAUUAAAAAAAAAAAAAAGAUGUACAAACGUUUAUGUAAGAUCAAGGUUACUGCUAACCAGAUGUUUAAUUCAUUAUAGCCAGGGUUUUUCAGGGGCAUAAAGAUACUGCAGAGAAGAUGUAUACAGUACGAUUUUCUCUGAAAAAAAAAAUAUCAUGACAUUUUGAACGGUUUGGGAUGAACAUUAUUGAUUUAAUAAGCAUUGUUUAAUGUAAUCAUUUUUUUUAAACAAAUGUGUGUUUGAUUUAGUAUCAUUAUGAAUUUAUACCACCAAAUCGGGUUGAUUCGAUUAUAUUUAUUAUAAGGCUGAUUUAUUUUGUAUAUGUGUUAUAAUUGUUUAAUUAUUUGCCUCCAAAAAAAAAAAAAAAAACUGAUUAGUUUGUGUAGAUGUUAAAAUUUUAAAGUGUUAAAGUAUUAAACUAUUAAAGUAUAAAUGUCUUCUGAAGUGUAUUUUUCAUUAUUUUUCGAUAAAAAUCACUAGUAGCCUAUCUCUCGUCCUUUCUCUGUCAGAAAACCGAGAAACAUUUUUUUUUGCAUUUUGCGUGCAGAUACAUAUUUAAAGAGCGAUAUUUAUAAAUAUGCAUUUAUUAUAAACCCCAUAUGACAUCAAAGGUUUCACUUUGAUGUUCCGGGUAACUACGCCUAAAACCAUGAGCCAGACAACAGCAAGCUGAAUACCCUCCCUGUAGUACUGACCAAUCACAAAACAGAAAACAAAGCAAAUCCCGCCUCUCAGAUAUCACUGACCAAUCAGAUUCCACUACAUCGUCCCCUGCACAAAACACACCACGCCCUUCUAGUCACUAACAUGGCCGUCACUAAGAAGUGAGUCCAAGGAUUUUGAGACCAAUAUUAUUUGAUUCUGCUUAAACGCUCUUGAUGAUUAACGAUGCCACUUGCGGGUCGUUAAUGUUGCAGCUCUAUAACGUAAGUGUACGUCGAUUUAAUGUGAUCUGAACGUGUAGCCAGUAUCAUUUAACCCCUAGGCCACCUCUGUUAACAUGAACCAGCUGUGUAGAGUGUUUCUAAAUGGUGUAAUUAUAUUUAUAUAUAAAUGAUUGUAACUUUGACAGCUCAUUUCAACAGUGAGAUACAGCAGGGUUGUUUCUGUCAGGUCGCAAGCUUUGAUCAAACGAUAAACAUGCAAAACGGGAGCUGCCUUUCACAUUAACAUAGGUGUAAUAAUAAUCGGAAAAACUCUGGGAUAUUAUAUUUCAUUAGGAUGUGUAAUACAUAAAUGCAAGCUGUUGCUGUAAAGUGCCACUGCUGAUUUGAUUGUUCAGAUGAAUCCUGCAUUGUCAUUUCACUCUCUGUAGUUAAAUAUUAAAGUAGCAUCAACACUACUAGUAAAGUACUUAUUUAGUAAGUAUCUGUGUAAUACUGUCAGCACCUGUUCUCUCUGAAUAUUCUGGAUUUAUGAGAUAAUGUAAGUGAUGGUGCAGUGAUGGUUAAUUACAGUUAAAGUGAGCCAGUUUUGAUCUUCGGCGUGAGGAGUAAGUUUCCUGGUUAGGUUUGCUGGUCUCUCUAAAUAAUAAGCCAAACUCUUAGUGAUUUGUUUGUCAAAUAUAGCCUCUUACCUAGAAAGCCACAGAUUAAAUGAUUAAAUGUCCUGCAUUGUUUGAGGUUGUAGUCAAAAGCUGUUUUUGCAGAUUGCUGGCACUCUUAUAUAAUUUCUCUUGUCUAAUUUUAGACUGUCGUUGUCUAAUUGAUCAUAUUUACAAUGGCAUCAGAGGAAACAGAGAAACUGUAUUCCUAAGAAUAUUCUUUUAUUAAAUUAAAUCUGGGGAUAUUUUGAUUGUGUUUCCAUCUCGUGUGAUUACCAGAGCCUGAUCAUGUCAGGUUGGCAUCAGAUAAGUACAGUGGGUAUAGAAAAGAAUCACCCCCCUUUACAAUAAUCACAUUUUGUUGCGGUCUGAAAUGAAGACGGACACAGUUUUUGUUUUAUCCAGCUGUAUUUACUCAGUGCAACUUAUGACUUCCAAGUGAAAGAUAUAACACUAACAUGUCAGAAAAAAAUAGUAUUUUGCUCUAAUUACAGCCUUUAGUGUGUUGGAAUAUGUCUCUACUAACUUUGCACAUCUAGACUUUGCGAUAUUUGCCCGCUCUUCUUUGCAGAACUGCACAAGUUUAGUUAAAUUUGACGUUAAGCUUUAGUGGACUGCAGUCUUCAAGUCAUUCCACAGAUUUUCACUGGGGUUUAAGUCUGGGCUCCUGAUUGAGUUUACAAGUCAUUUUUAGGUGGGGGAAUUAGCCUUUUUUUCAAGUCAGUGAUUCUGUUUUAUAAUUUCAAUUUUUAUUUUCUGAGAUGUUGGUGUUUAGGGCUGUGCGAUAUGGACAAAAAAAAAAAAACCUACCACGAUUUUUUUUAAUCAAUUUUGCGAUUUCGAUUUUAAUCACGAUUUUGACACACACAGACAUGCUUUACAGUCAUAAAUGCAUUCAGUAUAAAUUUGAAACAUCUUUCCAAAAGAAAACCAAUGAGAGCUUUAUCAAAAACUUGUAACAUGCCUCUAGAACAGACAUAAGUCAAAAUAAUCACUAAGUAAAGAUGUCAAACAAAAUGUCUAGACAUACGGCAAAAAAUAAAAAUAAAAAAUAAAAAAAAAUCCCGUGUCCA
ensembl:lncRNA